rnacentral:rRNA from 1 species
GAUGAACGCUGGCGGCGUGCCUAAUACAUGCAAGUCGAGCGAACAGAUGAGGAGCUUGCUCCUCUGACGUUAGCGGCGGACGGGUGAGUAACACGUGGAUAACCUACCUAUAAGACUGGGAUAACUUCGGGAAAUCGGAGCUAAUACCGGAUAAUAUAUUGAACCGCAUGGUUCAAUAGUGAAAUACGGUUUUGCUGUCACUUAUAGAUGGAUCCGCGCCGCAUUAGCUAGUUGGUAAGGUAACGGAUUACCAAGGCAACGAUGCGUAGCCGACCUGAGAGGGUGAUCGGCCACACUGGAACUGAGACACGGUCCAGACUCCUACGGGAGGCAGCAGUAGGGAAUCUUCCGCAAUGGGCGAAAGCCUGACGGAGCAACGCCGCGUGAGUGAUGAAGGUCUUCGGAUCGUAAAACUCUGUUAUUAGGGAAGAACAAAUGUGUAAGUAACUAUGCACGUCUUGACGGUACCUAAUCAGAAAGCCACGGCUAACUACGUG